UGCUCUGGGCGGGUUUGGCUCCCCCGGUUCGCUGCCAUGAGGGGAAGGAGCGGCUCCAGGCGGGUCGGGCUCUUUUCUGCCGCUGCCAUGAGGGAAAGGAGCGGCUCCGGGCGGGUCGGGCUCUUUUCUGCCGCUGCCAUGAGGGAAAGGAGCGGCUCCGGGCGGGUCGGGCUCUUUUCUGCCGCUGCCAUGAGGGGAAGGAGCGGCUCCGGGCGGGUCGGGCUCACUCGGCUUGCCGCCAUGAGGGGCCGCCGCCGCCAUGAGGUGAGGAGGGCAGAGGGGACGGGUGGUGGCCGCAGCGGGGCUGGAGAUCGGGGUUCCUGGGACGGAAUGUGCCACCUGAAAUACUCACUUUUUGUUAUUUAGCUGUUUGUGCCGGCCGGCAAGUGCUGUAGUCCGCGGUGCCCCGGGACUGGGGGUGUUGCUCGACUGUGCUACUCACCAGUAAUUCCUCAGCCUUUUGCUCGGUUUGCUGGCUUUUGUCCUCUGCCACAAGCUGCUGUUGAGCUUUAUGAAUACAGGUGGAAUUAAUGGGUUAAUUGUGAUGUUUGUACUGUGCUCUCUUUAGGCCUUCAGCCGGAGCUGUGGGUGGCCGGGAGCCGCCCGAAGGAGCCCUGAGGUGACCCGACCCCGUCGUGUGUGAAAGCCGAGCUGUGCUGUGCUGGGACAGCCAAGGAGGCAUCUCCAGGGGGGCACUGGAGCCUGCCGAGAGGAGAUGUGAAGGGAUAACCUGCUCGUGAGGCACAGGGAGAGCUCUGGAGCAACGUGAGUGAAGUAAAUUGUUGGUUUGGGGCUUGCUGGAGCAGCAGGAGUGGUCAAGUAAAGCUGUGGAUGCUGCUUUGAAGAUCCUUGUUAGAAAGGUAUUGGGAAGAUGGAAACCUGGAGCCCACAGUUUAAACGGGGCAGCUAGAGAAGAAUUUGUUUUCAGGAUGUGAAUGUAGGAAUUGGAAACAUCAAAGGUGUAUUAAAGGGCGAAGUAUAACAAGGAUUAUUUGUAAAAUUUAUUGUUAAUCUCCUCUCAGUGCUUGUUUAAAAUACGUUUUUAUGUGACCUCAAUUAAACAUAUUUACAUUUAA